ensembl:lncRNA
CGAAACUGCCACUCUCUUCACAACACCAUUUUAAUUACUGUCUCCAUAUUGCUCCAAGCAGAGUAUUCUCUCCAAGAACACAGCAAGCAAAUAUGUCGUGCAGAGCAGUCGACAGGGUAGCCCUCAGGGUAGCCGCUCAUUGAGAGAGGAGAAGAAAGGCGACAUAAAGGAGAGAAAGUAAAGGCUGAGGAGGAGCGGAGGGGACACGAUGCUCUCCAGGGGAGACAGUCACACGCUCCCAUUGAGGAGGGGACAGGGACAGAGUGGCGCCAGGGCUCAGGGCGGACACGUUCAUAAUCACACAUGGCAAGAGAGAGAGAGAGAGAGAGAUAGAAAGAGAAAGUGUGUGUGUGUUAGAUUAAAGAUCACAAACUAAGGUGAGCUCAAAGCAAUACAUUACUGUGCACAUGCUUGCAUGCAUGCCUGCACGUCUGUGAUAUGUCCUCAGAUUCAUCACAUUGAAUACAACAGAAACUAAGGUGAGGUUGAUUGGUGUUGGUGUGCGUGAGAGUGUGUGCACGUGUGUCAGUCUGUCUGUCACUCACGCAGUCGGGCCCCAGUCUACUUCCAACAUGGCCACAGGGCUCUUCAACAGAUGGGCAUGAGGUGACAUGAUGGCGUAGACAUGAGAGACCGCCAGCCAUCUUAAAAGGUCACUGAGGACCAAUCCUCCACCCCAUCUGAUUGCUGUUGUCCCUUAGGACAGGUCCAGAGUUGAAAAGUUCACCCAGGGAGAAAGGUGAGGAAGCCAGUCAUGCAAAUAUGAGAAGGUGACACGGGAGAGGAUUAGUGAGACCAGGUGACCAAGAAAGAAACGAAGACGAACACAAAACCCUGCCCUGGGAAAAGUGGCUACAGAGUAACUCUAGAUGUUUUAUGUUUUUUUUGUGUGAAGCUUAUUAUAAUUUGUGAACCAAGGUAAUCAGAAGUGGAGUGUGGAGUGUGGGUUGAGGGUCAUUAAAGGCCAAAUGCAGCCGUUUUAUCUCAAUUCAAUCACAAUCAAGUCAUUUCUUGGUAACGUUUAAGUACCAUACUGUGAUUGUUUUAAAGCAAUUUCUCUAGGACUGCUAGGAGAGUGGUCUAAGUGGGAAAGGUAAAACUGAAAACUAGCCGUUAUCGGCAGAGAGGUUCGGGAACUCUCUUUCUUAUAGGUAUAUAAACGAAUUAACUAACUAACUAACUAAUGAACUAUUAACUAACUAUAAACUCAUUUAUAAACUAAUGAGUUCAUGGGAUCAGUGUUCUUUGGGGUAAAAGUAAACUAAAGCCUUCCAUUGUGAUUCAUGCAUAACUACGACUCAACUUGAAAAGCCUGGUGUUGUCACCAAGCGGGCCAAAACUCCCACCAAAACAGGCAGAAAUUUCAGGUGAUCUUUUCAAAUAAGGGCAUUACUAUACUUUUGACAAUUUAAACAGUAUUAUUCCAAUGUCAUAGUGUGGGAAUAUAUGCAAAACACAGGAAAAUCACGUGUUUUACUGUACUGGGCCUUUAAUUCUGUUUCUAGUUAUUAUAAGUCUAGUUAUGAUUAGAGACUGUUAAAUAAUGCCUAUAGUUAUAGUUAUCUAAUAGUUAUGCGUUGGCUAAAAAUAUGUUUAUUAAUGCUGAGUUACAAACUUAGUAAUGGUUUAAACAUGUGUUAUUAUAUACUGUUGGCUAAAUAAUGGUAUUAUUAUUAGAAUGGUAAGUAAUUCACACCCAUUGACUUUUUCCACAAAUGUAUUAAAUUGAGAUGUUGUGUCACUGGCCUACACACAAUAACAAAUCAUGUUAAAGUGGAAUUAUGUUUUUAGAAAUACUUACAAAUUAAUAAAAAUGAAAAGCUGAAAAAAUGAAAAGCUGUAAUGUUUCUGUAGAGCACUUUUUGACACCUGCUGAUGUAAAAAGUGCUUUAUAAAUACAUUUGAUUGAUGAUUGAUGUCUUGAGUCAUACAAUUAUUGUCACGCCCUGAACUUAGUUAUCUUUGUUUUCUUUAUUAUUUAGUUAGGUCAGGGUGUCGCAAUGAUGGUGUGUGUAGUUUUUCAUUGUCUAGGGGUUUUUGUAUGUUUAUGUUUUUUUUUCUAGUCUUAGUGUUUAUAUGUCUAUGGUUGCCUAGAUUGGUUCUCAAUCAGAGGCAGCUGUUUAUCAUUGUCUCUGAUUGGGGACCAUAUUUAGGUGGCCAUAUUCAUUGGGUAUUGUGUGGGUUAUGGUCUAUGUUUAGUUGCCUGUCUGCACUACGCAUAUUAGCUUCACGGUUCGUUUGUGUUGUUUUGUUAGUUUUGUUCAGUGUUCGUUCUUCUAUUAAAUAAGUAUGUUCGCUUACCACGCUGCGCCUUGGUCUCCUCUUUAUGACGACCGUUACAGAAUAACCCACCAAAAAAGGACCAAGCAGCGUGCCAAAGAGGAGUGGACAUCUUGGACCCGGGAGAAAGAGGAGUGGAGGACAUCCUGGACCUGGGAGGAGGUAAUGGCGGGGGACAAGACCCUGCCAUGGAAGCAGGUGGAGAAAGCACAGGAGGAUAGUGGAAGAUAUGAGGGUACACGGCUAGCACGGAACCCCGAGAGGCAGCCCCAAGAUUGUUUUGGGGGGGGGGAGGCACACGAGGAGAUUGGCUGAGUCAGGUAGGAGACCUGAGCCAACUCCUGGUGCUUACCGUGGGGAGUGUGUAACUGGUCAGGCACCGUGUUAUGCAGAGAUGCGCAAGGUGUCUCCAGAAUGGGCAUCCAGCCAGGAUGUAUUGAGCAAGCUCUAUGUUCUGGAUCUCCAAUGCGUCUCCACGGUCCAGUGUAUCCUGUGCCUCCUCCCCGCACUCGCCUUGAGGUGCGUGUCCCCAGCCCAGUACCCAGUCCAGAGUGUCCGGCGACAAUACCCAGUCCAGAGCGUCCGGCGACAGUACCCAGUCCAGAGCGUCCGGCGACAGUACCCAGUCCAGAGCGUCUGGCGACAGUACCCAGUCCAGAGCAUCUGGCAAAAGUACCCAGUGCCCAACCUCCAACGACGGGCCACAGUCCGGAGCCUCCAACGACGGGCCACAGCCCGGAGCCUCCAACGACGGGCCACAGCCCGGAACCUCCAACGACGGGCCACAGUCCGGAGCCUCCAACGACGGGCCACAGUCCGGGGUCUCCAGCGACGGGCCACAGUCC